GACAAAGAAAGAAGACUUUACCGAGUGUGC
rnacentral:piRNA from 1 species